GAUGAACGCUGGCGGCGUGCUUAAUACAUGCAAGUCGAACGGAGACGUUAUAGCAAUAUGAUGUCUUAGUGGCGAACGGGUGAGUAACGCGUUGGUGACCUGCCCCGAAGAGGGGGAUAACAGCUCGAAAGGGCUGCUAAUACCCCAUGUGGUCGCGAGGGUUAGAGGCUUUGCGAUUAAAGGAGUAAUCCACUUCGGGAGGGGCCUGCGUCCCAUCAGCUAGUUGGUAGGGUAAAAGCCUACCAAGGCGACGACGGGUAGGGGGCCCGAGAGGGUGACCCCCCACACUGGCACUGAAACACGGGCCAGACACCUACGGGUGGCAGCAGUAGGGAAUAUUGCACAAUGGGCGAAAGCCUGAUGCAGCAACGCCGCGUGCGCGAUGAAGGCCUUCGGGUCGUAAAGCGCUUUUCGGGGAGAUGAGGAAGGACAGUAUCCCCAGAAUAAGGUUCGGCUAACUACGUGCCAGCCGCCGCGGUAAGAC
rnacentral:rRNA from 1 species